rnacentral:rRNA from 1 species
GUGGGGAAUAUUGCGCAAUGGGCGAAAGCCUGACGCAGCGACGCCGCGUGAGGGAUGAAGGUUUUCGGAUCGUAAACCUCUGUCAGAAGGGAAGAAACUACAUUGUGCUAAUCAGCAGUGUACUGACGGUACCUUCAAAGGAAGCACCGGCUAACUCCGUGCCAGCAGCCGCGGUAAUACGGAGGGUGCAAGCGUUAAUCGGAAUUACUGGGCGUAAAGCGCACGUAGGCUGUAGUGUAAGUCAGGGGUGAAAUCCCACGGCUCAACCGUGGAACUGCCUUUGAUACUGCACAACUUGAAUCCGGGAGAGGGUGGCGGAAUUCCAGGUGUAGGAGUGAAAUCCGUAGAUAUCUGGAGGAACAUCAGUGGCGAAGGCGGCCAUCUGGACCAGCACUGACACUGAGGCACGAAAGCGUGGGGAGCAAACAGGAUUAGAUACCCGAGUAGUCC